UACAGAGGUCUCAAGCGUUGUUCGGAUUCAUUGGGCGUAAAGGGUGCGUAGGCGGCGCGGUAAGUCGGGUGUGAAAUCUCGGGGCUUAACUCCGAAACUGCAUUCGAUACUGCCGUGCUUGAGGACUGGAGAGGAGACUGGAAUUUACGGUGUAGCGGUGAAAUGCGUAGAUAUCGUAAGGAAGACCAGUGGCGAAGGCGGGUCACUGGUCCGGUACUGACGCUGAGGUGCGAAAGCGUGGGGAGCAAACAGG
rnacentral:rRNA from 1 species